GACGAACGCUGGCGGCGUGCUUAACACAUGCAAGUCGAACGGAAAGGCCCUGCUUUUGUGGGGUGCUCGAGUGGCGAACGGGUGAGUAACACGUGAGUAACCUGCCCUUGACUUUGGGAUAACUUCAGGAAACUGGGGCUAAUACCGGAUAGGAGCUCCUGCUGCAUGGUGGGGGUUGGAAAGUUACGGCGGUUGGGGAUGGACUCGCGGCUUAGCAGCUUGUUGGUGGGGUAGUGGCUUACCAAGGCUUUGACGGUUAGCCGGCCUGAAAGGGAGACCGGCUACAUAGGCCUACGGGAGGGACCAGACUCCAACGGGAGGCAGUAGGGGGGAGCAUUGCACAAUGGGCGGAAGCCUGAGGCAGAAACGCUCCGUGCGGGAUGCCGGCCUUCGGGUUGUAAACCGCUUUCGCCUGUGACGAAGCGUGAGUGACGGUAAUGGGUAAAGAAGCACCGGCUAACUACGUG
rnacentral:rRNA from 1 species